rnacentral:lncRNA from 1 species
AUACAAACCGUGACCAAGUUCAUAAAAACGCAAAUAAGUUUAACGCCUCCGCGAGGCACGAUGUGCAUUGCAGGAAAAUAACAGGGAAAAGAAAUCAGGAGGAGCCACCGCCGGUCGCCCCCUCCGCAGGGGGCUAGUCGUCGACGUCAGAGGCAUCGUCUUCCCCAUCAUCGGCUCCAGCGGCACCUGGAGACGAAGGAGCUGCGACGCGGGCGAACCUCCUCAUCAACGCCUCCACAUGGCCUUCAACGCCUCCGCGGCGCGGUCGCGGGCCUCAGUGGGGACCGGCACGAUCACAUAGCUUAGAU